AACAUUCACUUCUUCCAUACUCCUCCUCCCCAAUUUGAUAUCCAAUUUUUCUUUAUCUAAAUCAUUUGACACCCUCAUCACCUUACUCUUUUCUAUGUUCACUUUCAACUUUCUACCUUUACACACAUUCCCAAAACUCAUCCACUAACCUUUGCAAUUUUUCUUUAGAAUCUCCCAUAAGCACAGUAUCAUCAGCAAAAAGUAACUGUGUCAAUUCCCAUUUUGAAUUUGAUUCCCCAUAAUUUAAUCCCACCCCUCUCCCAAACACCCUAGCAUUUACUUCCUUUACAACCCCAUCUAUAAAUAUAUUAAACAACCAUGGUGACAUUACACAUCCCUGUCUAAGACCUACUUUUACCGGGAAGUAGUCUCCCUCUCUUCUACAUGUGCUCACUAAAAUAGCUGGAAAAGGCAUCUCAGGCACAGAUUAUUUCUGAUUUGGCCGUUUAGCACCCAAUCUUCAGGAAUACCAAAUACAAGUAUUCAAGUACUGUACUUGCAUAAGAUGCUGUUAUGUGUAUGCAUACCUAUAUCAUUUUGUUGGCUAAAUAAAUAAAUGGUUUGUCACUUGGUUUGUUUCAGGGCAAGUAGCAGCUUAGAUGCCACUCUACGUCAGUUGGGCUAUUCAGCAGCACAGAUUAACCAGUCAACAUUGAGCUCUUUGGUUAAUGUUGCUACUCCUCCCAUGCAUUCUUAUAAUACCAGACAGUCAAGCAAUUCACAUCAUGCAUCAAGUUAAUACAUUGAUGAAUGCUUGGGGUAGUGCUGUUGCGCCAGACAUCGUACCUCUCAUCUUUGCUACGGACCUUAUCACUUACCUAUCGCAAAUUAAAUACAUCUUUCAGCGGCAUAGCACUCUUGGCCAGUCUCAAGCUAAACGUAUUCGGACAACUUGAUGGUUAGAAGGAUUGUAGUGUAGGCUGUAAAUAAACCUCAUUAAUCAGAUAAUGAAGACAAACCCAAUAUAAGAAUUACAUUUAUUAUAUGAAAUUCUCAAGGUACUAUUGAUUAAUAAAUUAUUGUAGAAA